AAACGUUUGAAAUCAGUCAUGCGUGCGGGUAAUCAGCUUGGCCUUUGGGUCUUGUGCACUUGUCCGCUCCGCAGGUCAGCGUCGGUUUUCAAUUGUCGGAUAAAAGCCAAAGGAAUGUGAUCCCACGGGAUGUUAUAGCCUUGGUUAAUACGAUGAUGGAGACCGAGGUCUGCAGUCGAUGCCUUUAGGCUGGGGAACCUGUCGCUCAGAAUCACCCAUGCUUAGACAGCUUGCUGACUAGGUGUGAUGUGGGUUUGACACGGUGGGCUACUACACUAUUCGACUUAGGUCGCUGACAUAAUGGUUUUAAAUGA
rnacentral:rRNA from 1 species